rnacentral:rRNA from 1 species
UACAGAGGUCUCAAGCGUUGUUCGGAUUCAUUGGGCGUAAAGGGUGCGUAGGUGGCGCUGUAAGUCGGGUGUGAAAUUUCGGAGCUUAACUCCGAAACUGCAUUCGAUACUGCGGUGCUUGAGGGCUGGAGAGGAGACUGGAAUUCAUGGUGUAGCAGUGAAAUGCGUAGAGAUCAUGAGGAAGACCAGUGGCGAAGGCGGGUCUCUGGACAGUUCCUGACACUGAGGCACGAAGGCCAGGGGAGCAAACGGG